UGGGGAAUAUUGCACAAUGGGCGCAAGCCUGAUGCAGCCAUGCCGCGUGUGUGAAGAAGGCCUUCGGGUUGUAAAGCACUUUCAGCGAGGAGGAAGGUGGUGAACUUAAUACGUUCAUCAAUUGACGUUACUCGCAGAAGAAGCACCGGCUAACUCCGUGCCAGCAGCCGCGGUAAUACGGAGGGUGCAAGCGUUAAUCGGAAUUACUGGGCGUAAAGCGCACGCAGGCGGUUUGUUAAGUCAGAUGUGAAAUCCCCGGGCUCAACCUGGGAACUGCAUUUGAAACUGGCAAGCUAGAGUCUCGUAGAGGGGGGUAGAAUUCCAGGUGUAGCGGUGAAAUGCGUAGAGAUCUGGAGGAAUACCGGUGGCGAAGGCGGCCCCCCUGGACGAAGACUGACGCUCAGGUGCGAAAGCGUGGGGAGCAAAACAGGAUUAGAUACCCUGGUAGUCCACGCUGUAAAACGAUGUCGAUUUUGGAGGUUGUGCCCCUUGAGGCGUGGCUUCCGGAGCUAACGCGUUAAAUCGACCGCCUGGGGAGUACGGCC
rnacentral:rRNA from 1 species